rnacentral:rRNA from 1 species
UACGUAGGGGGCAAGCGUUGUCCGGAAUCAUUGGGCGUAAAGCGCGUGUAGGUGGCCAAGUAGGUCCGCUGUGAAAACUUGAGGCUCAACCUCAAGCUGUCGGUGGAAACCCCUUGGCUAGAGUCCGGAAGAGGAGAGUGGAAUUCCUGGUGUAGCGGUGAGAUGCGCAGAUAUCAGGAAGAACACCCGUGGCGAAGGCGGCUCUCUGGGACGGUACUGACGCUGAGACGCGAAAGCGUGGGGAGCGAACAGG